GGGCGGGCAUGGUCACGCAAGCCUCUUGAGGAAGGACGAAUGGGAAUCAGCAAAGUGCAGGUGGAGAAGAUAGAUGUGAAAGGAAUUGGGGGAAGACUGUAUGCAAAGUCCUGGGAGUAAAAUUCCAGGUUAAUUUGCCAACCAGGUUAUUUAUUAUAAGAGAUUAAAGAGAGCACUGUACCCGUCAGGUCCUGAAUUCUUGGUCUACAAGCUGGCCGACAAGCUGUGGGAGCUGGAAAGAAGUCCAGCAUUGCUGGCGAAACACUUAGUCCAGGUUUCUAGUACAGUGCCCUGAAAAGAUGCACAGAGAAGACUGAAAUGGGCAGCAGAGGAGGAGACUAAAGGAAAGACAGAGUCAAACUUUGCAUGAAAUUUCUGCUAUCAUUGAUGGAGAUGCCUUGAGAUUAUUAUUUUUGGACUACACCCAAGUUUUUACAUCGGAACAAAAUAAAGAGCCUCAAGGGUGAUUGGAAGAGCUAUUAAGUCAACCCCCAUGUAAAGGCAGCCAUCUUCUCAAUAAGGAUUUCCCAACCUUGCCCCAUUUACACUUGGAACCAGUUCCUCCAGCCCUUGCUUGUAACCCGGAUUCCACCUCUGAUAGAGAUUUGGAGGCUGCUGCUAUUGUCCAAGGCACUGGUAAGUACAGAGUGGUCAGGGCAUCCGCCAGCUCACAAACCUCAGUGGAUCCAUAUUUUGGGCAUGAUUGUUCUGUUCAGAGUGGCUGGUAUGUCCAAAACCGUUAGUAUGCUGGAUGUAGUUAAUAUGUUAGAUCUUCACUAUCUCCACAAUGGUCAAUUUUUCCAGGCCAGUGAGGUCUGUCUUGUUUGUUUGCAUUUCUGUGG
rnacentral:lncRNA from 1 species